AGAGUUUGAUCCUGGCUCAGGAUGAACGCUAGCGGCAGGCCUAACACAUGCAAGUCGAGGGGCAGCACGGUGUAGCAAUACACUGGUGGCGACCGGCGCACGGGUGCGUAACGCGUAUGCAACCUACCCAUAACAGGGGGAUAACACUGAGAAAUUGGUACUAAUACCCCAUAACAUCAGGACCGGCAUCGGUUCUGGUUGAAAACUCCGGUGGUUAUGGAUGGGCAUGCGUUGUAUUAGCUGGUUGGUGAGGUAACGGCUCACCAAGGCAACGAUACAUAGGGGGACUGAGAGGUUAACCCCCCACAUUGGUACUGAGACACGGACCAAACUCCUACGGGAGGCAGCAGUGAGGAAUAUUGGUCAAUGGACGCAAGUCUGAACCAGCCAUGCCGCGUGCAGGAUGACGGCUCUAUGAGUUGUAAACUGCUUUUGUACGAGGGUAAACGCUCUUACGUGUAAGAGCCUGAAAGUAUCGUACGAAUAAGGAUCGGCUAACUCCGUGCCAGCAGCCGCGGUAAUACGGAGGAUCCGAGCGUUAUCCGGAUUUAUUGGGUUUAAAGGGUGCGUAGGCGGUUUGAUAAGUUAGAGGUGAAAUACCGGUGCUUAACACCGGAACUGCCUCUAAUACUGUUGAACUAGAGAGUAGUUGCGGUAGGCGGAAUGUAUGGUGUAGCGGUGAAAUGCUUAGAGAUCAUACAGAACACCGAUUGCGAAGGCAGCUUACCAAACUAUAUCUGACGUUGAGGCACGAAAGCGUGGGGAGCAAACAGGAUUAGAUACCCUGGUAGUCCACGCAGUAAACGAUGAUAACUCGUUGUCGGCGAUACACAGUCGGUGACUAAGCGAAAGCGAUAAGUUAUCCACCUGGGGAGUACGUUCGCAAGAAUGAAACUCAAAGGAAUUGACG
rnacentral:rRNA from 1 species